GAUGAACGCUAGCGGCAGGCUUAAUACAUGCAAGUCGAGGGACAGCACAGGUAGCAAUACUGGGUGGUAACCGGCAAACGGGUGCGGAACACGUACACAACCUUCCUUUAAGUGGGGGAUAGCCCAGAGAAAUUUGGAUUAAUACCCCGUAAUAUAGUUGAAUGGCAUCAUGUGAUUAUUAUAGCUACGGCGCUUAAUGAUGGGUGUGCGGCUGAUUAGAUAGUUGGCGGGGUAACGGCCCCCCAAGUCUACGAUCAGUAGCUGAUGUGAGAGCGUGAUCAGCCACACGGGCACUGAGACACGGGCCCGACUCCUACGGGAGGCAGCAGUAAGGAAUAUUGGUCAAUGGACGCAAGUCUGAACCAGCCAUGCCGCGUGAAGGAUUAAGGUCCUCUGGAUUGUAAACUUCUUUUAUUUGGGACGAAAAAGGGCCUUUCUAGGUCAACUGACGGUACCAGAUGAAUAAGCACCGGCUAACUCCGUGCCAGCCGCCGCGGUAAAAC
rnacentral:rRNA from 1 species